AGAGUUUGAUCCUGGCUCAGGAUGAACGCUGGCGGCGUGCUUAACACAUGCAAGUCGAACGAAGCACUUUAUUUGAUUUCUUCGGAAUGAAGAUUUUGUGACUGAGUGGCGGACGGGUGAGUAACGCGUGGGUAACCUGCCUCAUACAGGGGGAUAACAGUUGGAAACGACUGCUAAUACCGCAUAAGCGCACAGGGUCGCAUGACCUGGUGUGAAAAACUCCGGUGGUAUGAGAUGGACCCGCGUCUGAUUAGCCAGUUGGUGGGGUAACGGCCUACCAAAGCAACGAUCAGUAGCCGACCUGAGAGGGUGACCGGCCACAUUGGGACUGAGACACGGCCCAAACUCCUACGGGAGGCAGCAGUGGGGAAUAUUGCACAAUGGGGGAAACCCUGAUGCAGCGACGCCGCGUGAGCGAAGAAGUAUUUCGGUAUGUAAAGCUCUAUCAGCAGGGAAGAAGAAAUGACGGUACCUGACUAAGAAGCACCGGCUAAAUACGUGCCAGCAGCCGCGGUAAUACGUAUGGUGCAAGCGUUAUCCGGAUUUACUGGGUGUAAAGGGAGCGUAGACGGCUGUGUAAGUCUGAAGUGAAAGCCCGGGGCUCAACCCCGGGACUGCUUUGGAAACUAUGCAGCUAGAGUGUCGGAGAGGUAAGUGGAAUUCCCAGUGUAGCGGUGAAAUGCGUAGAUAUUGGGAGGAACACCAGUGGCGAAGGCGGCUUACUGGACGAUGACUGACGUUGAGGCUCGAAAGCGUGGGGAGCAAACAGGAUUAGAUACCCUGGUAGUCCACGCC
rnacentral:rRNA from 1 species